UUGUUUCUUCGGUACCCUCUGCGGGGCUGGGACCCACGCCGGCGGCUCAGGUCUCUGUAAAGAAGGGUGCGGAGAGGCGGGGGUGGCUGCUGAUUUGGCCGCAGGGAAGGACAGGCCUCCAGCGGGCUGGCAAGGUGCCGGGAGGGCAAGACGUUCCCUGGGCAGGUCCCAGUUCCCUCUCAGGAGUGUGGGUCGCUUCUCUCACUCAAUCCACCCCUUUCAGUGUUGGCCACCAGGGACUAGGACUGGGGCUCCUUGAGUCCCCUUUUACAACUCCUAUUGUAUUUUUCAUUCUCAUCACAAAAGCAGUACAUGUUAAUUGAACUAACGAAAAAACACAAACAUUCAAAAGGAAGAAAAUAGAAACCCAAAACACUCUCAUUACCUAGAGACAAACCUUUCUUGUAUAUCCUGAGUGCCAACACAGGUGACUUCCUUUUUUUCUGAACAAAAUAUUGUGAACAUCUUUCCACAGAAGCAUCCUCACAAUGAAUAUGGUUCAAUAAAUAGACUCUGUCCUUAAAGACCCCCAGUGCCUCCAUUGCAGGGAUGUGGGGUGAGAUUUCCAACCAUUCCUUUCCUGGGCUUUUAGAGUGUUGCCACGUGUCUUAUUUCUGUCCACACCAUACCGGGGUCAUUCUCCUGCUGGGUCACUGUGCAUGUCCUUAAUUAUUUCCUUAAGAUCAAUUCCUCAAAACAGCUGGGUUAACUGUUCUGUGUUUUAGAAAAGUUUUACUACAUUUUGUCAAAUUGACCUUUAGAAAGGUUAUGUCAAUUCAUACUCCCACCUGCAGAGAAUGUAAAAUCUGUUGCCACAAUUCAUCAUCAUCAAUCGUUGUGAUUUCGGAUGUCGGAGGUGGGACCUAAGAUUCUGCAUCUCUAACAAACUCCUGGAUGCCGCUAAUGCCGCUGGUCUCAAGACCACGUUUGUGUACCGAGGGUCUAGAAGUGGUCCUCCGAUGUCAAGGAGCGUUAAAAUGACCUGAUAAGCCUCUUGAAAAAGCAGAUUCCUGGGCUGAUUCACAGCAUCAGGGAGGGGGUCAGGAAUCUGCAUUUUUAACAAGUCCUCAGGUGAAUUGAUGCACUUAACAGUUCAAAGACCACACUUGGAGAAUGUAGCCAGCCUGCCUAGGAUUUCCUCAGGCAUUCAUCUUUUUAGCGCAUCCUGAGUCCACACUUGGCUGGAAGAUCUCGAGUCGGUUGGCUGGGAAUUGAAACUGAGCAGAGAGCCCACUGGGCCCGAACUGCAGCUCUCUGCUUCUGGGAUGCCUUAAUGUUGAGGCCAAAUCCCAUUAUCACAAGAGAGUGACAAGUGCUUGUGCCUUCUUGGAAUAAAGGAGCCAUCUGUUUAGGUUUGGGUUUUGAUUGUAAAGUUAUUUGACCUGUCCCCUCCUUGGAACUGUGACUAAUGUCUCAAGAUCAGAGCAUAGAUUCUGGGAGAAUGAAAGGCAGAAGGCUUUCAAGAUGCCUUCCACCCAAGGAAAACCUCAAGCAGGGGAGCAAAAGACAGUAUAAAAAAAAAAUCAAUGCUCCAUGUAAUGUUGAAGACAUCAAAUAAGAAGUCUCCACCAAAUGAAUGUGCUUUUUUUCCCCGCUUAACUGAGACGGCCUGUGAGGUAGGAUAAACCCAGGACCUGGAAUGAGGGGCUGAAAGAAAAUUGACACAUCUCACCUCUUCUCUCAUUUGGCUACUGUUAGGCCCAUCCUUCUCCAAGUACGUGUUAUUCAGCUUGCAGAUGAUUCUGGACCUUUGUUUUUCUUCUGGUUCUUCUCUCUUAUUUCUCCUUGUUUGAGCCAUUAGCAGUUCCACCAGGGAUGGAAUGGAAAUGGAAUGGAACCCCCUAUGAGAUAGAAUAACAUCUGUGAGUAGGUGUGCUUAGAGGUUUGAUGGGGAGGAAGAAAGAAUUAAUUAUGAUCGCAGGUCCUAUGGAAUUCACCUCGAUGUGGCUGUCUAGGUCCACUUUUAUAUGGCAACUUCAAGCCUUAUAACAAGAACAGAACGCCUUCUGCAGAGUUCGACAACUACCAGCAAUAAUUUGCCAGAAAAGUUAUUACUUGAAAAAUGCUUACUUCUUUUACUUAUUCAAAUAUACUUAUUACUUUAUACGCUUCUUUUUUUUUUUAAAAGAUUUUAUUCAUUUAUUUGAAAGAGAGAGAGAAUGAGAAAGAGAGCACAUGAGAGGGGGGAGGGUCUGAGGGAGAAGCAGACUCCCUGCCGAGCAGGGAGCCCGAUGCGGGACUUGAUGCGGGACUCGAUCCCGGGACUCCAGGAUCAUGACCUGAGCCGAAGGCAGUCGCUUAACCAACUGAGCCACCCAGGCGCCCCUAUGCUUCUAAUUCUCUUGGUUGUCUGGUAACAGUGUUGUGAGACGGGGGACAUAAAUUUACUACCACAUAUGUGUGACUUUCCUGUUUAAGGAGGAUUUUUUUUCAUCUAUUUCUUCUAGCUAGUUACAAUAUAUUAUAUAACAAAGGAUACCUCCUAUUCCCGUUACUUGGUAUAAUAAAUAUCUUGGCGAAAUUU